rnacentral:lncRNA from 10 species
GCUGCUGGGAACCGGCCGGGGUGCCGGGUCGAAAGACAGACGCGCGGGCCGGGCGUGCGCGGGCUUGGUGGAGGGCGGGAAGGCUGAAGGGCGGUGACAGGUCGCACUGCCUCGCGAGGGCCAGAACGCCCAUUUCUGCAGAGGUGCACUCAGUGGCGUGGGAAAUCAAAUGCAUCCGGUUAUCCCAGUUCGGCCUCUCUGGGAUUCCGCGGGAGGGGGUGUCUGGUCUGGUUUGGUUUGGUUUGGUUUGGUUUGGUUUGGUCCGGUUCAAAGUAGCGCAGUCUGACUGAGCGGGAGGUGGAGUGGAAGGCGAGAAUAGGGGUGAAGGAUUAGACAGAAGAAGACUUUGAACUAGGAACAGUGGCAACCAGGGUGACCCAGGCUUUUGUGACCCGUAGAGGCAGAAGCUGCCUUAAUCCAUGUUCCCUUCGGGAUGCUGGUAUCCAACUGAGAAGUUGACGGAGCAUCUAUCGUGUGCCAGACACUGUGCUAAGUGCUAACGAGAAAUCGCUCUGUCUGCUUUUGCCUCAUAUGUUUUGACACUGUUGCUAGAUGGAUAUACAAUAAGGAAUUUUAUG